GACGAACGCGGGCGGCGUGCCUAAUACAUGCAAGUCGAACGCACUCUCGUUUAGAUUGAAGGAGCUUGCUCCUGAUUGAUAAACAUUUGAGUGAGUGGCGGACGGGUGAGUAACACGUGGGUAACCUGCCCUAAAGUGGGGGAUAACAUUUGGAAACAGAUGCUAAUACCGCAUAAAACCUAACACCGCAUGGUGUAGGGUUGAAAGAUGGUUUCGGCUAUCACUUUAGGAUGGACCCGCGGUGCAUUAGUUAGUUGGUGAGGUAAAGGCUCACCAAGACCGUGAUGCAUAGCCGACCUGAGAGGGUAAUCGGCCACACUGGGACUGAGACACGGCCCAGACUCCUACGGGAGGCAGCAGUAGGGAAUCUUCCACAAUGGACGAAAGUCUGAUGGAGCAACGCCGCGUGAGUGAAGAAGGUUUUCGGAUCGUAAAACUCUGUUGUUGGAGAAGAAUGUAUCUGAUAGUAACUGAUCAGGUAGUGACGGUAUCCAACCAGAAAGCCACGGCUAACUACGUGCCAGCAGCCGCGGUAAUACGUAGGUGGCAAGCGUUGUCCGGAUUUAUUGGGCGUAAAGCGAGCGCAGGCGGUUUCUUAAGUCUGAUGUGAAAGCCUUCGGCUCAACCGAAGAAGUGCAUCGGAAACUGGGAAACUUGAGUGCAGAAGAGGACAGUGGAACUCCAUGUGUAGCGGUGAAAUGCGUAGAUAUAUGGAGGAACACCAGUGGCGAAGGCGGCUGUCUGGUCUGUAACUGACGCUGAGGCUCGAAAGCAUGGGUAGCAAACAGGAU
rnacentral:rRNA from 2 species